AGAGUUUGAUCCUGGCUCAGAACGAACGCUGGCGGCAGGCCUCAAACAUGCAAGUCUAGGGGAUGUAGCAAUACAUCACCGGCGGACGGGUGCGUAACACGUGGGAAUAUACCUUUCGGUACGGAACAACGCAGGGAAACUUGCGCUAAUACCGUAUACGCCCUUACGGGGAAAGAUUUAUCGCCGAAGGAUUAGCCCGCGUUCGAUUAGCUAGUUGGUGAGGUAAUGGCUCACCAAGGCUCCGAUCGAUAGCUGUUCUGAGAGGAAGAUCAGCCACACUGGGACUGAGACACGGCCCAGACUCCUACGGGAGGCAGCAGUUGGGAAUCUUGGACAAUGGGGGAAACCCUGAUCCAGCCAUGCCGCGUGAGUGAUGAAGGCCUUCGGGUUGUAAAGCUCUUUUACCCGGGAAGA
rnacentral:rRNA from 1 species